UUUCUUUCCUUCAAAAAUUUCUUCUAAAAUAAUUGGUUGAUUACUUUUUGUUUUGUGCAUAUGAUAUGUUUGCACCAAUGUGAUAUAGUAGUGUAAAUGUCAUUUUCAAUAGAAUACCUUUCGAAGAGUUAGGAUACCUAAAUGGUUUGUGCCUUGUCAGAUUGUGCUGCUGCUCUUCUACAGCCCGUUUACCUUAUUAAAAAGGCCCUUUUCACAUGUUUUGAACUUUGUUCUAUAUGGUCUUAGAUGAAGAAGUGGGUUGCUCUAGUGGUGAACACCCUCCACUUCCAACCAAGAGGUUGUGAGUUUGAGUCACCCCAAUAGCAAUGUGGGGAGUUCUUGGAGGGAGGGAUGCCGAGGGUCUAUCGAUGUGUCACCGCUUGCUGCUGAUUAGCCGGUGAUCGAGCAACAACUGUCCAGUACUCUCCAGCUAUAUUCUUUACUGUUCCAUCAACCAUACCUAUCUUCUUUGGCCCAUCUUAGAAUUAGAGCUAUUCCUCAAGCCAACUGUUGCAAUUUGCUGCUGCUCCAUCACCUAAAUCGUAAUAGUUUCUUCUCAUUUAUCUAGCUGGCACUUUUUCUGGUGCUUUGCUAACAAUAAUAUUGGCUACUAAAACUUUCUGACUUCCCCCUUAUAUUCAGUAGCCUAGAUCAGAACCUUGUAUGUGUGUUUUCUUGGCUUCAAAUUUAAAGCAAAGUCAGCCUUGAUGUCAAUAAUACCAGUAACAGAUAAAAAAACAACUGAUUGAAAAAUCUUGAAAAUCAAGAACCAAACAGGACUAAUAAGACUUCAAUUUGUUUCUAUUUUUGGGAAAGGUACUGCUACCCUUUUUUUACUUAAACCAGAUGUUUCAUUUGCUAUAUUUAAUAUUAUCACUACCUCAAAUUCAUGUAGACCUCUUUUAACAAGAAUCUGCUAAUUUCUUCUCUUGUGUGGUCAGCCCCUCCUUUUGGUUGUUUUGUUGCCGACGACAUCAUGAAUAAAGUUUGCUGGAUGUUUGAAACUUGUAUCAUGUUGCCAGAUCGGUCAAACAAAUCAUUGGAGGGGAUAUCAUGUUGGGAUGUAUUCAAACCAACCCCAACUAUGCCAUUGUUUUUUUUAACCUCUUGAAGAGACAGUCCUUUCGCUGGAUUAUGCAAAAACCCAGGCAGAACUUGCAAAGGAUUCAUGCUCUCCAGAAUCUUAGCUCCAAUUGUAGUAAGAUUAACAUUAGCAGGUGCAAUAGAGUUACCGAAAACUACCACAAGCUGCCCAUUCUUAUCUGUUGAAUCCUUCUCUAUGUUGGCACUUGUUAGCUGAUCCUCCACCAUCAGAACAUCAUAAGCAUUUGUACUACAAAAAUGCUUGUCACCAGCAGAUCGAUUUGGAGAAAGAAUUCCAGCUGAUGCCUUCUAUUUGCGUGUUAUUGAACUCCAGCCUUCCUCUCUAUUCACAUCCACUCCUUCCGUGCUACUAGAGUUUGCAGCCUGUUCCAGUAUCUCAUUAGGAUUAGUGGAUGCAUCUAGCACAAUCCUCAUGUAUAGUUAAAUUUCCAGUGGGUCUAGGAGAUAGCACGAUUUGCCCAGAUUUCACUGAAGCCUUGUACUCCUGCUUAGCAGAUUCUAGGAUCGCAGUUUCCUGCAUAAGAGCCAUUUUUACACCAGCAGUGGCAUGAUCGGCUAUAGGUUUUUGUUGUUGAUUACCACCUGUAUUUACUGCCUUAACACUUUUAGGUGCUGCACUAUCCAAAGCAACAACACUUUCAACAUCUUUCCCCUCAUCAUGCACACCAGUACCUUUUAAAAUUGCUGGGUUUUCAGCUAUUUCAAUUGCACCAGUAGGUCGAUCGCACACCCCAGUUUUCUUCUCCUGCACAACUAUUUUUUGAUGAUCAUUCCUCUACUCCUGCCUAGUAUUAAUGUGCCCAUCAACUGUAGUAGCAACCUUAGCUUGAACACGAUCAACACCAGGGCCCUUAGCAAUUUGCUUUUCCCCCUCCAACUCUUGAGAAACAUUCUUCACAGCUGUAGCUUCAGAACCUGCUGGUUUUUCAGCACUUACAGCAGUGGUGCACGUGCACUUACUGCUUUGUACUCGGACUGUAUACUUUUAUAUGUAAUAUACAGAGAAACUUUUUAAGAUUAUGAAUAUAUAUUAAGUGGUGUAGCCUCUGUCUUUCAACCCUGAAUCUGCCUUCGCCAACAUCACAUAAAGUGUUGUUAGUGGAGAUACCGGGGCAGGGAGAAAACACAGAAGGAACGGAAUGUGGGCAAGCUGCUAACUUUCCAUUUCGUUGUUCCUGUGAAAUCAUUAGUUAUUAGGUAACAGCAUUAGCAGUGCUUAAGUUUUGUGAAGUUGUCAGCGAGACCUUUUGGGAAAAGUUUUCUGGAAAGCUUUGUGUUGUUGCAUGUCAAGACUAAAUUCGAUUAUUUUGUCUCUUCAACAGAUUGAAUGAAGCUGUCAUGCAUUUCGGUGAGAGUAUCAAGGAAAUUAUUAACGAAGAAUUUGAAGAUGGCAUAUCAAAAACUUGAAGUCCGAAGAACCUAUCCUUGAAGAAAGUGUAGAGCAAGUUGAAGUACAAGAGGUUUUUGGUUCGUCAGCGAUGGUUUAAAGACACUGUCUUAUAUACAUAUAUAUGCUACAAUUUUACUUUUUCUUUUUUCUUUUAGGAAUUAUUAAAAAUGAUGAUUAACUCAUCUCACUUUAUGCUUCCAGUUGUCUUCUGGAUGGGCUUGCAUUAUUUUUACUUUUCAUUGUUUUAGUAAGAUGGGUUUCUUAUAAUUUGGAUUGGUUUCUGGUAAAUAUGAUACUUUAGUUCUUUGUAUUAACAAGAUAUCAAGUAUUUGGUUUA